rnacentral:sRNA from 1 species
GUUUGCACUCAUCGGGGAAGGGUGAGAACCUUCGACUAAGGUUCGAUUCGAGCGAAAGCGAGAGAACGUUGCCACAGGCAACGGCCCUAAGGGUGAGGAGCGAAGCGACGAAUAAUCCUUCCCCCACCACCA